AUGGCCGUCGACACCACCACCGCCGCGCCUUCCCACCCUGAAGGCGACGAAGGCGGUGAAGAGGCAGUGCGGCCGCUCCUCUCCGGCGCGCCCGCUGAGGUGGAGGAUGAGGAACUGGACAUCAGGUACGCGCCCUAUGCGCGCCGUGAUGCGUACGGGCCGAUGGGCCGCGGGCCGCUCUCUGCGGCGCAGGUGGCACGGUUAGUGCUGGCGGGCGUCGUUCUCCUCCCGCUCCGUCUCGUCGCAGGGGUGCUCCUGGUCGUCGCCUACUACCUCGUGUGCCGUGUGUGCACGCUGUUUGUGGGCGGAGUGGGAGAGGGCCGUCCCCGCCUACAGGGGUUGAGGAGGGAGGCCGUGCUGCGUGCUGGCCGCGUGUUGUCGCGGGCAAUGCUGUUCGUGUUCGGGUUCUACUGGAUCCCCGUGUCCGAUCGAAGCUUCCCCAAUGCCGAGGAUGUACCUAAAGAUCACUAUGAAGAACUGGAAAGACCAGGGGCGAUUGUAUCUAAUCAUGUGUCAUAUGUGGACAUUCUUUAUCAUAUGUCAGCUUCUUCUCCGAGUUUUGUUGCUAAGAACUCAGUGUCCAAGUUGCCGUUGAUUGGUCUCAUAAGCAAAUGUCUUGGGUGCAUUUUUGUUCAACGAGAAUCCAAAUGUUCAGAUUCUAAAGGUGUCUCAGGUGCUGUAACUGAAAGGCUCCAUGAGGUUUCACAAGACGAGAAUUCCCCUAUGAUCUUACUCUUUCCUGAGGGUACUACUACGAAUGGGGAUUACCUUCUCCCAUUUAAGACAGGAGCCUUUCUUGCAAGGGCACCAUUGCAACCUGUAAUUUUGAGAUAUCCUUGCAGGAGAUUUAGUCCAGCCUGGGACUCCAUGGAUGGGGCACGUCAUGUGUUUUUGCUCCUCUGUCAAUUUGCAAAUUACAUAGAGGUGGUUCGCUUGCCUGUAUACUAUCCUUCUGAGCAAGAAAAGCAGGAUCCUAGAGUCUAUGCCAACAACGUCAGAAAAUUGCUUGCGACUGAGGGUAAUUUAGUUCUGUCUAAUCUUGGGCUGGCUGAAAAGCGUGCGUAUCAUGCGGCACUUAAUGGACUGUUGUGUCAAAGCUAA
rnacentral:rRNA from 1 species